rnacentral:rRNA from 1 species
UUGGGGGCAGGCCUAACACAUGCAAGUCGAGCGGUAGCACAGAGAGCUUGCUCUCGGGUGACGAGCGGCGGACGGGUGAGUAAUGUCUGGGAAACUGCCUGAUGGAGGGGGAUAACUACUGGAAACGGUAGCUAAUACCGCAUAACGUCGCAAGACCAAAGUGGGGGACCUUCGGGCCUCAUGCCAUCAGAUGUGCCCAGAUGGGAUUAGCUAGUAGGUGGGGUAACGGCUCACCUAGGCGACGAUCCCUAGCUGGUCUGAGAGGAUGACCAGCCACACUGGAACUGAGACACGGUCCAGACUCCUACGGGAGGCAGCAGUGGGGAAUAUUGCACAAUGGGCGCAAGCCUGAUGCAGCCAUGCCGCGUGUGUGAAGAAGGCCUUCGGGUUGUAAAGCACUUUCAGCGGGGAGGAAGGCGGUGAGGUUAAUAACCUUAUCGAUUGACGUUACCCGCAGAAGAAGCACCGGCUAACUCCGUGCCAGCAGCCGCGGUAAUACGGAGGGUGCAAGCGUUAAUCGGAAUUACUGGGCGUAAAGCGCACGCAGGCGGUCUGUCAAGUCGGAUGUGAAAUCCCCGGGCUCAACCUGGGAACUGCAUUCGAAACUGGCAGGCUAGAGUCUUGUAGAGGGGGGUAGAAUUCCAGGUGUAGCGGUGAAAUGCGUAGAGAUCUGGAGGAAUACCGGUGGCGAAGGCGGCCCCCUGGACAAAGACUGACGCUCAGGUGCGAAAGCGUGGGGAGCAAACAGGAUUAGAUACCCUGGUAGUCCACGCUGUAAACGAUGUCGAUUUGGAGGUUGUGCCCUUGAGGCGUGGCUUCCGGAGCUAACGCGUUAAAUCGACCGCCUGGGGAGUACGGCCGCAAGGUUAAAACUCAAAUGAAUUGACGGGGGCCCGCACAAGCGGUGGAGCAUGUGGUUUAAUUCGAUGCAACGCGAAGAACCCUUACCUGGUCUUGACAUCCACAGAACUACCAGAGAUGCUUUGGUGCCUUCGGGAACUGUGAGACAGUGCUGCAUGGCUGUCGUCAGCUCGUGUUGUGAAAUGUUGGGUAAGUCCCGCAACGAGCGCAACCCUUAUCCUUUGUUGCAGCGUUCAGGCCGGGAACUCAAAGAGACUGCAGUGAUAAACUGGAGAAGGUGGGGAUGACGUCAGUCAUCAUGCCUUACGACAGGCCUACACCGUGCUACAUGCCAUAAUACAAAGAGAAUCGACCUUCGGGAGACAGCGAACCUCAUAAGAUUGUUCGGGAAGUCCGAAAUUGGAAGAUCUGUGCCAACUUCGUAC